GAGGAAUAGAUGGAUGAGCAUAUAUUCCACCAUGGGGAUACAUAGUGACAUAAGGAUGUGGUGGAGUACCAUAGGGUGGCAUAAGAUGCUGAACUCCCCACAUGUAAGGGUGUGCUUGAGGACUUGAAGCCAUGAACCCAUGUGGAGGCAUCGGUGAAUAUCCCUGAAAUCCGGGCCACUCUGGAUUUGCUGUACCAGUAGCAGUAGAUGAAGCUUGCUCCUGUGAAUUGGGAGUCUUCGUCUCCUUUGACUCCUUUGCCUCCUUAGAGGAUUUGUCAAUAUCACUGCUCCCCAUGGCUAAACUGCACCACUACCUCAAACACUCCUCAAACCAUCCGGGAAGAUAAACAGAGACACCAGUGAAUCUGAAAAUUUGGGUCUGCUUCAGCUGUA
rnacentral:misc_RNA from 1 species